rnacentral:lncRNA from 1 species
UAUGUAUUUUUGAAUUGACAGAAAAUAUUAUGAAAAGUGUAUGACUUUUGUAGUUUAAAAAAAGUAGGAUGGAUGAUGUAAUAAAGGUAUAAAUGGAUGAGGUAAUAUUUAAAGUAGAAAUGGAUGAUGUAAUAAAAGUAGAAUGUUAGAAAAAUGGGCUUAAACUAAGGUAAAAAUAUUAGAGACUGAAAGCAGAGAAAAAUUUGGAAGUUGGUGUGGUCAGCUCAGAGUGACACUAUAGACACCUAGGCCAGCAUCGUGACAGGAAGAAAUACGUUUCACAUUACACAGUCUUCAAUAUGCAAUUACACAUUUUCUUGAAACAAGAGGAAAAACUAGAAAAUCUGAGCAAAGAAAUAUAAUUUAUAAAAAAGAAUUAAAUGGAAAUUAUAGAAUUGAAAAAAAUACAGUCACUGAAAUAACAGCCCUGCUGAAUGAACAACAGAGUAGAGUGGAGAUGACAGAGGAGAAACUCCACAAACUUGAGGAACGAUAAACAGAAUUUAUCAAAUAUAAAUGGCAGAGAGAAAAUAGCCUGAAAAUAAAAAUGAACAGUCUCAGAAACACAUGGCACAAAACCAAAAGAGUAACAUUUGUCUCCUCAGGGUUCUAGAAAAAGAGGAGAGGGACAAUGGGACUGAAAAGGCAUUCAAAUAAAUGAUGGCUGAAAACUCCUAAAAUGCGGUAACAAGACAUAAACCUACGUAUUCAACAAGCAGAAUGAAUCCCAAGUAGGAUAAGCCCAAAGAAAUUCCUAUUAAGACAGUGUAAUUAUACUUCUGAAAACAAAUCUUGAGGGCAGCCAGAGAGAAAUGAUAUGAUGCUUAUACCACCCAUUUUAAUGAUACUGUAUUUCUACUCUGAAAGCAUGAAGGCCGAGAAGGAAGCAGUGUAACAUUUUUCAGGUAUUGAAAAGAAUUGUCAGCUCUGAAUUCUCUAUCUGGUGAAAAUACCCUCCCCAAAUAAAGGGAAAAUAAAGAAAUUUGCAAAAGAAGCAAAACUAAGAGAAUUUCUUGCUAGCACACCUACCCUUAGCAGUAACUAAAGAAAACCAAUAAUAUAAUCCAUAAAAGGAAAACUGAUGAAUCGGACCUCAUCAAAAUUUAAAACUUUUGCUCAGUGAAAGACUUUUUAAGAGGAUGAGAAGAUAAUCUACAAACUGAGAGAAACAAAUUAUAAACCAUGUAUCUGACAAAGGCCUCAUCUCUGGAAUAUAUAUAUAUAUAUA